CGGCGCGGACCUCCUUGUCAAUGGGAACGCUGGGCCGGGCGGGCGGCGCGGCAGUCAGAGAGCUUAAGCAUCCAACAUUCUAUAGAAUGUGUUAUUUCCUCAAGAGGUUGCUAGGAACAGUUAUGUAGAUCUACCAGAUGCAGGGAAAACACUCCACACCCUCACCCAGGUGCCGUAUCCCUGCAAGACUGCAUUGGAAAGACUGAAGAGGAACAACAGCAAAGCAAAGUUACUUUUUUACUGCAUGUGGCUGCUAGAUCUGGAGGGCAAUUCAUGAUAUCAACAACAUUCCCCAGCUCUGACUUAGAGAAUGUGGGCUCUGAUGAGCUUUUUAUUACUUUGUGCCCUGUGUUAUAAUGUCCAAGUCCCAUCACAUCUACCAGACAAUAAGC